GGCACUGCUGAGAAGCACCUGAGGUUCCUUCAGACAGCUGGCGGGCCUUACACUCUUGGCCCCGUAGGCCAGGACAGACAGACAGGUGGGCCCAGAAAGGACCUGGAGCCAUUGACUCAAGUCCGAGUGGCUGCAAGCCGCUGCUGGACAGAACCAGAGAGAAUGGGAAACAUGCCACCAACUUUUAUAGUUACAUGUCAGGUGCAGGGACACGUCCUGAGCAAUGUCCUGUUAGGUGAUUUUGUCACUGUACCAACCUAGAGUGUGCUUACACAAGCCUACGACAGCCACAGGUCACUGGGCAGUAUUACCUUGUGGGUCCACUGUUGUGUUACGUGGUCCAUCAUCGGCCCAAACGUCCUUGUGGCGUGGGACAGCGUUUACACGGCUGCUUUCCAGACUGAGGUGCCCCCUUUGGCCCUUGGUCCUCCUCUGACCGUCUUAAUGGCCCCAAGUUGGCGUUACAGGGGAGCUCUUAGGAAGAGGGGUAUGUCUGUCCAGAAGCUGGCAGGGCCAUGACGGUUUUGUCUCUGUUUGCGACAGAGGCUGAGUGGCUGUCAUCCUUUUCCCACCAGCCCCCUUCGCCAGAGUUGGGGGACAGCCAGGAGUUUUGUGGUUAAAUAAUUUUUUGACCUUCAGCUAUAGGACAUCGGUGCCGUGUUAAGUACUUCAGAAGACCUGGGAGAUAAGAAAUCUGACCUCCUUUUCUAGAUGAAACCCAGACUGAGCGAAGAGCUAAGGAAAAUAUAGAAGCUUGACUACAAGAGGCCUAGGCUGGGUCUAGCAGCCCGUAACAAAUGCUUUUGGUUUUCUUUAUAACAAGGGAAAUUCCUUCACCUCAGGCUCGGAGGAAGUUGAGAGGUCUAGCAUGACUUAACACACGUUUUAAGAGUGAAUUAUCUUUGGGGGUAACUUAGGGACAAACAUCCCUGGAGGCUGCCCCGUCCUCCUCUGCCCCCUUCCCCAGCCUGCCCCUCGUCCUCCCACAUCCUCCCCUUCUCCCUCCACCCAGUGGGGGCCCCGAUGAGCGGCAGUGUGUGGAGAGCAGGAGACUGAUACGGACACACCUCUGCUCUCUUUCUUCUUUCUUUCCUUUUGCAGUGCUGGGGAUCGAGCCCAGGCUCUAAUGCCAUUGAGCCACACCCCCCAGGCCUUCUCUAUUUUUUAGGACCUUCCUGAGGAGGCCAGUCCACCUCGUUUGCUUUAGGAUGAAGGCUUUUGGGUUGCUGUCGAGACUAUAAUGGUGAUUUUAGCCCGUGGCUUAUUGCACACAACUUAUUAUAUUUAAGGCAUGGGGGGGUCUCCUGUGAGCAAGGUUCCUAUCACCCACUGUGGUGGCUGUGCAUGCUUCACUGACCUAUGGGGACAGAGUCACUGGCUGCUCUGUUCCCUAGAAGAACGGACAAGCUGCCAGGUGCACACCUAUAAUCCCAGUGGUUUGGGAAGCCGAGGCAGGCGGAUUGAGAGUUCAAAGCCAGCCUCGGCAACUUAGUGAGGCCCUGACCAACUCAGCAAGACCUGUCUCUAAAUAAAAUGCAGAAAAGGGCUGAGGGUGUGGCUCAGUGGUUGAGUGUCCCCGAUUCAGUCCCUGGUACCAAAAAAAAAGAAGGGACAGGCCAAGCCUCCAAACGGACAGAAAUUCCUGGCCUACCCUCCAAGUCCGCUCCGUGGGGUGGGACACGCGGGAGGGAGGUGUCUUUGGGAAGAGCAGAGAGGUGGCCCGGCUUGGCUUCUCAUGUCUGACUGCCUUCCGCCAAGGUUUAAGUUCCAGGUUGUCAUCAGUGGCCGCGAGUUCCCCCCGGCGGAAGCUGGCAGCAAGAAGGUGGCCAAGCAGGAUGCAGCUCUGAAAGCCAUGACGAUCCUACUGCGGGAGGCCAAAGCCAAGGACAGUGGGAAGCCAGAGGACUUGUCCUGCUGUUCCCCAGAAAAAGAGCCAGAGGAGGUAGGGACCUGCCCAAGGUGGGUCUCGUCUCUCAGGUCUCAAGGGGUAGCAUCUUAACUGGCCCCUGGAAGCGAUCCUGGUCUAAAAGCCCUGGUCUCUAGUCCCAAGACAGCUUCCCGCCUCCUCUGCCCACCUCCAACCCGCUUUCCUCUCCUUCCCAGCCCCCCUCCUGCCCCCUUGAGCCUAGCUGGAGGUGCAGAACGUCAAGCCUGGAAGAGGCUGAAGCAGUACGGUGCUCCGUCUCCACUUUGGGCAGAUAGCUUACUCUCUCCUGCCAUGCCCGGGAAGGCCACCCUUAACACUGACGGAUCCGAGAGUCCCCGUCCGUCCCUUCUGCGGAGGCGGAGCAGCCGGCCUGGUCUCAGUUCCUCGUGCUUUAUUCUGUCUUCUCGUCUCACUUUCUCCAGACAGCGGAGCCCCAGCCCACCGCCACCUCAACGUCGUCCCUGUUUUCUGGGAAGAGCCCCGUCACUACCUUGCUGGAGUGUAUGCACAAACUGGGCAACUCCUGUGAAUUCCGGCUCCUGUCCAAAGAAGGCCCUGCCCAUGACCCCAAGUACGUCCGGGGAGGGACGGUGUCUCCAAGAGGCUUUCUCAGAGACAGGCUCGUCUUCCUCUUCAGAGACGGCAGCUUAUUGUCUCUGAGCAGUUUCUUCUGCUGCAUGUGGAAGGGCCUUCAGGACCUGGUUGCUGCUUGGAAAGCAGAGAAGCUGGAAUCGGGAGUCCAGAGGGACCAAGGGCAAGGAGGGGUUGGUAGCGUGGGGGUCACUGUUGGUGGGACAGAAAGGUCCAGGGCCUUGGUGGGCCUGAGCAGCUCUCUGAGGGUCUGUGGACUCACAUAUCCGAGAGAAGGGCUCUGGAGGAGGGGAAAGUUUUGCAUGUUGAAAGUGGGGAGCCAGGCUGAGAGACCCGGGCAGCAGGUGGGCGAGGGGCAGCGGCUAUGCAAGGCAGAAGUGACUAUAGAAGGUGAUGUGCACAAGAAGUCGCAUGUAGUAGAGAACGUUAGCAAGUUGGGCCGGUCUCUGCAAUCACAACCUUCCUCCCUCUGGUCAGGUUCCAGUACUGUGUGGCGGUGGGAGCCCAAACCUUCCCUACCGUGAGUGCUCCCAGCAAGAAAGUGGCAAAGCAGAUGGCCGCAGAGGAGGCCAUGAAGGCCCUGCACGAGGAGGCCACCAACUCGGUUGAUGACCAGGUGGGCGUUUCUCCUGCUGAAACACCGUGGGGCGAUCUAGCAACGGAGCAGGUCAGGGUGGCCCACGUUUCUUUGAAUGUUCAUGGCUCCUUUUUGUUUGGCUGAUUCUCCUUUAGUCUGGAGGUGCCAACUCAGAAUCACUUGACAACCUGGACUCUGGGAUGCCCAACAGGAUCAGGAGGAUCGGUGAGCUCGUCAGAUACCUGAACACCAACCCCGUGGGCGGCUUGUUAGAGUACGCCCGCUCCCAUGGCUUUGCUGCUGAGUUCAAGUUGGUGGACCAGUCUGGACCCCCUCAUGAGCCCAAGUGAGUGUUCCAGACCCAGCUCCUGCUGGGUGUCAUCAGGUAGGGGUGGUGUGUCGUCCAGGGAAAGAAAGGAUGUGCGCCGCUGUGAAGGACAGGGAAGGCAGGUGAUGAAACAAGCCAACCCUCUCUCCACAGCCUCUUGGAUGAAGUUAGUCUUCCAUCUUGAGGAUACAGUGAGCAUUUUAUAUAUAUAUAUAUAUUUACUUUUAAAUAUAUAUUAAAUAUAUAUUAUAUAAAUAUAUAUUAAAUAUAUAUUAAAUAUAUAUUAUAUUUUAAAUAUAUAUAUAUAUAUAUUUACUUUUUUUAUUUCUGAAAGAAAAAAAAAAAAAUAUAUAUAUAUAUAUAUAUAUAAAAUCAUUCAAACUGACCAAAUAAGUCUAUAGCGAAAAGUCUUAUUUCUAUCCCAGACUUCUCUCCUAAGAUCCUCAUACUAUCAACUUGAAUUUCCUUCUGGAAAUUUCUAUGCAUAACUAGCACAGUUUCCUUUCUUUUUUUCUUUUUUUUUAAACAAGAAUAAGCAUAGAGCAUGCUUUCUGUUCAACACCUUGUGCCAGUGUGUCUCAGAUAGUGUCUCAGGUAAAUACAGAUCAGAAUAUACAGCUCUACCAAGGUCUCUUGCACAGCUGAAUGAUAUUUCAUUGACUAAAUACUUGCAAUUUUAAAAUUACUUAUUAAAUAAGAGAUAUGACAGACCUUUUCUAAAAUAGAUACUGAUGCACCACCACCUAGUUUAAGAAAAUAAAAUGUUGCUAGUACUUGGGAACACGCCACCCCAACUUGGCAUAAUUUGUUUAACCCACUUCCAGUGACAUUUAGGUUGCUUUGGUCACACUAUUAGAAACACUCCAGUUGAAUUUCCUCAUACUGUAUGCUUUUGCUUUCAUUAGCAAAACUGUCAGUAGUAAUUUUUUUUAAUAUUUAUUUUUUAGUUAUAGGUGGACACAAUAUCUUUAUUUUAUUUUUAUGUGGGGCUGAGGAUUGAACCCGGUGCCUCAUGCAUGGUAGGCGAGCGCUCUACCUCUGAGCCACAACCCCAGCCCCUAUCAGUAGUAAAUUUUUAGGAGUGAAAUUUUGGGGCCAUAAGCAAUAUGUUUUUUUAAGGUUUAAAAAUUUUUGUAUAGGUAAUAGACUACUCAAAAAUUUUUUUAAAAUUCAGAAAAAUAUAAGAAGUUCAUUCUCAGUCUCCCUUGGGCCUAGCUGUCAUCUCCUAUCCACAACCCCCAUCAACAUUUAAUGAUUUUGCAUUAUAAUAUGUCUCUCUUGAGUGUGUUUGUGUAAAUACAGGCAAGUGCAUCUCCCCUGUUGGUUUCAUAUAAGCAUUGAUCUAUAACUUGAUCUUAUACAACAAUAUAAUAGCAUUCUAUAACCCUGUAUUCUUUGAAUAAUGCUGCAAAGUGUAUUGUUAGAGUGCACGUGAUUUAGUUAACCAGCUCCUCUUGGAGAACACUUGGGUUGUUUCCAGAAUUCUGCUGUUAUGAACAAUAGUAUAGCCUGUUUAUGAGCAUUCGAAAUUUUAAUAUGUAAAUUUAUGUAAACGAGUGAUUUUCCUCCAAUGAGAUCACACCAUCUUAUGCUUUUACCAACAAUAUGUAAGAAUGGCUCUUCCCCAGCUCCACCCAGGCUAAUAUGAUAUAAUCAAAAUUGUUAUCUUUGGGGGGCUGGGGAUGUGGCUCAGGGGCAGAGCACUUGCCUAGCACCUGUGAGGCACUGAGUUCGAUCCUCAGCACCACACAAAAAUAAACAAAUAAACUAAGGCAUGCUGUCUAUCUACAACUAUAAAAAACAUUUUUUAAAAAUCUCAUCUUUGCCAUUCUAAAAUGGAAAAAAAAACAGUAUUUUGCUGUAUUGCAAAGAUUAAUCUGUUAGGAUAUUUAUUAUUACUAUUUACCAUAUUAAUGGAUCACAGGAGAGAAACCACAUAAUUAUCUCCAGAGAUUCUGAAAAGGCAUGUAUAAAACUCAGCAUCCAUUCAGAUUAACAAAACAAGCUGUCAGUAAAAUUAAAAUGAUUGAAUACCUCCUUACCAUGAUAAAAAAUACAUUUGAAGUCAAAAGCCAGCAGCUUAUUUAACGAUGAACCUAGAACUGUUCCCAUUGAAGUCAGGAGGGAGACAUAGUUGUCAGUGUCAUCAUUAUGAGGCAUUAUUCUGGAAUUCUAGCCAAUGCCAGUCAAGAGAAAGAAAUAGUGUACAUGCCAGGCGUGUGGUGCACACCUGUAAUCCCAGGGACUCAGGAGGCUGCACUGGGAUCCUCCUGUCUCAGUCUCCUGAGUCUCGGGAUACAGACGUGUGCCACCAUACCCAUGAUUGAUAGAACUCUUAAGCACGUACUGUUCAUGUACUCAGUACAACUUUAAGGCCAGCCUCAGCAACUUAACAAGUCCUAAGCAACUUAGUGAGACCCUAUCUCAAAAUAGCAAAAACUAAAAGAGCUGCAGAUAUAGCUGGUGGUAAAGCACCCCUGGGUUCAAUUCCAAGUACCAAAAACAAAGAAGAAAGAAAACCAAAUAUACAAAGAAGAAAGAGGUAGUUAGUUAAUCAUUAUUUGCAGAUGACUUGAUUGUAUACCUGGAAUAUUUACCUGAAAACCAAGGAAAUGCAUAGGCAGAGAAUUGAGAAAAGUCGGAAAUCGCAGUGAAAUGCGUAAGAAUCCAGAGCUUGCCUGUGGGCUGGGCUGUGGCUCAGUGGAGGAGCGCUCGCCUAGCACUGGGUUCCAUCCUCAGCACCACAUGAAAAAUAAAUAUAUAAACAAAUAAAAUGAUUUUUAAAAAGAGCUUAUCUGUAUGCAGGAAUAAGCAAUUGGGAAAUGCAGUGGAAGAAAUUACCCUAUUACAACAGCAACUAAAAAGAUGAACUACCAGGCUGGGGUAUAGCUCAGUUGGUAGAGUGCUUGCCUUGCACGCACAAGGCCCUGGGUUCAAUCCCCAGCACCACAGGAAAAAAAAAAAAAAAGAUAAACUACCUAGGCACAGUCCUAAUAGGAACUAUGUAGGAACAAUGUUAAGUAAAACGGUAAUCAAAGAUAUGAAGGAAGACUUGAUUAAAUGGGAGGAAGAAUCUGUUAUUAGACAGUAAAGGUUUUUGUGUUUUGGUUUUUUGUGGUCUGGGGAUCAACUGAGAACCUCACAUGUGCUAGGUAUAUAUUCUACCACUGAGCUACACCCCAGGCCAAGUAUUUUAAAGAUAGCAGCUGUCCCCAGAUUAAUCUUCACACUUAAUAUGGUCCCAAUAAAAAUAUCAACAGAAUUUAUUUUGGAAGUAGAAAACUUGAUUCUGAAUUUCAUAUGAAAAACAAAUACAUAAAAAUAGCUAGGAAAUUCAGAGAAAAAAGGACUGAUCCUACCAGAUUUUUUUUUUUAAGAAUUUAACCUUUAUUUUAUUUAUUUGUUUGUUUAUUUAUUUAUUUAUUUAAUAUUUAUUUUUUUAGUUUUUGGCAGACACAACAUCUUUGUUUGUAUGUGGUGCUGAGGAUCGAACCUGGGCUGCACGCAUGCCAGGCGAGCGCACUACCGCUUGAGCCACAUCCCCAGCCCCUACCAGAUUUUUUUACCUGCUGCCAAGGGUUGAACCCAGUGCCUCACCCGCAACAGGCAAGCGCUCUACAACCCCAGCCCCUACCAGAUUUUAAAACAGUGAUGUGAUGUACAUAGCUAGAAAGGUGCUUCCGGGGAUCAGACGGGAGCACCCAAAAGGUCGAAAACCAUAUGAAUGGUAUUUUUGUAUGUUGUAAACAUAAGGCUCCAAAUGAGUGGGGAAAUGGUGGUAGUGGGGCUGCCAGCUCUCCAUCCUGAAAACAAAACCAGAGCUGUUUGUCUGCCCCCUUCCCGACUCCCAGACCCCUACAGAUCCAAGGUUUAAAUGUAAAAUAAAUGAAAUCUGAUCACUAGAUAAAAGGAGGGAUAUUUCUAGAAUCUUCAAGCAGCAAAGCCUUUCCAAUCAAAGACACAAAACGUAAAGUCAUCAGGUAAAAAGCCCAGAAAUGUUAAUAGUAAGAAAAAAAUGGUGCGUAGUCAAAAGACCACCUGAGAAAAACACCACAGUGCCCAGCAGCCCGAGGCUAAUUUCUUUGAUACGUGAAGGGUUCUACAGAAAUCCCAAUGGAAAACCUUAGGAGAAAACUAAAGUAUUGGGCUGGGGAUGUGGCUCAAGCGGUAGCGCGCUCACCUGGCAUGCGUGCGGCCCGGGUUCGAUUCUCAGCACCACAUACAAACAAAGAUGUUGUGUCCGCCAAAUACUAAAAAAUAAAUGUUGAAAUUCUCUCUCUCUCUACCUCUCUCUCACUCUCUCUUUAUAAAAAAAAAAAAAAAAAAAAAAAACUAAAGUAUGUGAGCUGUACAUUCAUAGAAAAGGAAAUACAGUGAAUUGCCAGGUGGUGGCACACCUGUAGCCUGUAAUCCCAGCAGCUCAGGAGGCUGAGGCAGGAGGAUCACAGGUUCAAAGCCAGCCUCAGCAACUUAGUGAGGCCUUAACCAACUCAGUGAGACCCUGUCUCAAAAUAAAAAUGGCCGGGAAUACAUCUCGGUGGUAAAGUGCCCCGGGUUCAGUCCCUGGUACCAAAAGAAAAAGGAAAAGAAGUACAAUGAAUUGUCAGUAAACAGAAAGGUACACGACCUCAUUUUGUAAAUUAAAUUGACGCUUUGACAGCAUACCUACAAAACAGCGGUGCAGUUAGCCUGUGCAUUACAGCUGAGUGUGAGAACAGUGCCUCCAGCCCAGACACACAGUGCACGGCGUUUGUNACCCUCUCUCCACAGCCUCUUGGAUGAAGUUAGUCUUCCAUCUUGAGGAUACAGUUUCUCUUCAGUGACAGUGAGCAUUAUAUAUAUAUUUACUUUUUUUAUUUCUGAAAGAAAAAAAUAUAUAUAUAUAUAUAUAAAAUCAUUCAAACUGACCAAAUAAGUCUAUAGUGAAAAGUCUUAUUUCUAUCCCAGACUUCUCUCCUAAGAUCCUCAUACUAUCAACUUGAAUUUCCUUCUGGAAAUUUCUAUGCAUAACUAGCACAGUUUCCUUUCUUUUUUUCUUUUUUUUUAAACAAGAAUAAGCAUAGAGCAUGCUUUCUGUUCAACACCUUGUGCCAGUGUGUCUCAGAUAGUGUCUCAGGUAAAUACAGAUCAGAAUAUACAGCUCUACCAAGGUCUCUUGCACAGCUGAAUGAUAUUUCAUUGACUAAAUACUUGCAAUUUUAAAAUUACUUAUUAAAUAAGAGAUAUGACAGACCUUUUCUAAAAUAGAUACUGAUGCACCACCACCUAGUUUAAGAAAAUAAAAUGUUGCUAGUACUUGGGAACACACCACCCCAACUUGGCAUAAUUUGUUUAACCCACUUCCAGUGACAUUUAGGUUGCUUUGGUCACACUAUUAGAAACACUCCAGUUGAAUUUCCUCAUACUGUAUGCUUUUGCUUUCAUUAGCAAAACUGUCAGUAGUAAUUUUUUUAAUAUUUAUUUUUUAGUUAUAGGUGGACACAAUAUCUUUAUUUUAUUUUUAUGUGGGGCUGAGGAUUGAACCCGGUGCCUCAUGCAUGGUAGGCGAGCGCUCUACCUCUGAGCCACAACCCCAGCCCCUGUCAGUAGUAAAUUUUUAGGAGUGAAAUUUUGGGGCCAUAAACAAUAUGUUUUUUUAAGGUUUAAAAAUUUUUGUAUAGGUAAUAGACUACUCAAAAAUUUUUUUAAAAUUCAGAAAAAUAUAAGAAGUUCAUUCUCAGUCUCCCUUGGGCCUAGCUGUCAUCUCCUAUCCACAACCCCCAUCAACAUUUAAUGAUUUUGCAUUAUAAUAUGUCUCUCUUGAGUGUGUUUGUGUAAAUACAGGCAAGUGCAUCUCCCCUGUUGGUUUCAUAUAAGCAUUGAUCUAUAACUUGAUCUUAUACAACAAUAUAAUAGCAUUCUAUAACCCUGUAUUCUUUGAAUAAUGCUGCAAAGUGUAUUGUUAGAGUGCACGUGAUUUAGUUAACCAGCUCCUCUUGGAGAACACUUGGGUUGUUUCCAGAAUUCUGCUGUUAUGAACAAUAGUAUAGCCUGUUUAUGAGCAUUCGAAAUUUUAAUAUGUAAAUUUAUGUAAACGAGUGAUUUUCCUCCAGUGAGAUCACACCAUCUUAUGCUUUUACCAACAAUAUGUAAGAAUGGCUCUUCCCCAGCUCCACCCAGGCUAAUAUGAUAUAAUCAAAAUUGUUAUCUUUGGGGGGCUGGGGAUGUGGCUCAGGGGCAGAGCACUUGCCUAGCACCUGUGAGGCACUGAGUUCGAUCCUCAGCACCACACAAAAAUAAACAAAUAAACUAAGGCAUGCUGUCUAUCUACAACUAUAAAAAACAUUUUUUAAAAAUCUCAUCUUUGCCAUUCUAAAAUGGAAAAAAAAACAGUAUUUUGCUGUAUUGCAAAGAUUAAUCUGUUAGGAUAUUUAUUAUUACUAUUUACCAUAUUAAUGGAUCACAGGAGAGAAACCACAUAAUUAUCUCCAGAGAUUCUGAAAAGGCAUGUAUAAAACUCAGCAUCCAUUCAGAUUAACAAAACAAGCUGUCAGUAAAAUUAAAAUGAUUGAAUACCUCCUUACCAUGAUAAAAAAUACAUUUGAAGUCAAAAGCCAGCAGCUUAUUUAACGAUGAACCUAGAACUGUUCCCAUUGAAGUCAGGAGGGAGACAUAGUUGUCAGUGUCAUCAUUAUGAGGCAUUAUUCUGGAAUUCUAGCCAAUGCCAGUCAAGAGAAAGAAAUAGUGUACAUGCCAGGCGUGUGGUGCACACCUGUAAUCCCAGGGACUCAGGAGGCUGCACUGGGAUCCUCCUGUCUCAGUCUCCUGAGUCUCGGGAUACAGACGUGUGCCACCAUACCCAUGAUUGAUAGAACUCUUAAGCACGUACUGUUCAUGUACUCAGUACAACUUUAAGGCCAGCCUCAGCAACUUAACAAGUCCUAAGCAACUUAGUGAGACCCUAUCUCAAAAUAGCAAAAACUAAAAGAGCUGCAGAUAUAGCUGGUGGUAAAGCACCCCUGGGUUCAAUUCCAAGUACCAAAAACAAAGAAGAAAGAAAACCAAAUAUACAAAGAAGAAAGAGGUAGUUAGUUAAUCAUUAUUUGCAGAUGACUUGAUUGUAUACCUGGAAUAUUUACCUGAAAACCAAGGAAAUGCAUAGGCAGAGAAUUGAGAAAAGUCGGAAAUCGCAGUGAAAUGCGUAAGAAUCCAGAGCUUGCCUGUGGGCUGGGCUGUGGCUCAGUGGAGGAGCGCUCGCCUAGCACUGGGUUCCAUCCUCAGCACCACAUGAAAAAUAAAUAUAUAAACAAAUAAAAUGAUUUUUAAAAAGAGCUUAUCUGUAUGCAGGAAUAAGCAAUUGGGAAAUGCAGUGGAAGAAAUUACCCUAUUACAACAGCAGCUAAAAAGAUGAACUACCAGGCUGGGGUAUAGCUCAGUUGGUAGAGUGCUUGCCUUGCACACACAAGGCCCUGGGUUCAAUCCCCAGCACCACAGGAAAAAAAAAAAAAGAUAAACUACCUAGGCACAGUCCUAAUAGGAACUAUGUAGGAACAAUGUUAAGUAAAACGGUAAUCAAAGAUAUGAAGGAAGACUUGAUUAAAUGGGAGGAAGAAUCUGUUAUUAGACAGUAAAGGUUUUUGUGUUUUGGUUUUUUGUGGUCUGGGGAUCAACUGAGAACCUCACAUGUGCUAGGUAUAUAUUCUACCACUGAGCUACACCCCAGGCCAAGUAUUUUAAAGAUAGCAGCUGUCCCCAGAUUAAUCUUCACACUUAAUAUGGUCCCAAUAAAAAUAUCAACAGAAUUUAUUUUGGAAGUAGAAAACUUGAUUCUGAAUUUCAUAUGAAAAACAAAUACAUAAAAAUAGCUAGGAAAUUCAGAGAAAAAAGGACUGAUCCUACCAGAUUUUUUUUUUUAAGAAUUUAACCUUUAUUUUAUUUAUUUGUUUGUUUAUUUAUUUAUUUAUUUAAUAUUUAUUUUUUUAGUUUUUGGCAGACACAACAUCUUUGUUUGUAUGUGGUGCUGAGGAUCGAACCUGGGCUGCACGCAUGCCAGGCGAGCGCACUACCGCUUGAGCCACAUCCCCAGCCCCUACCAGAUUUUUUUACCUGCUGCCAAGGGUUGAACCCAGUGCCUCACCCGCAACAGGCAAGCGCUCUACAACCCCAGCCCCUACCAGAUUUUAAAACAGUGAUGUGAUGUACAUAGCUAGAAAGGUGCUUCCGGGGAUCAGACGGGAGCACCCAAAAGGUCGAAAACCAUAUGAAUGGUAUUUUUGUAUGUUGUAAACAUAAGGCUCCAAAUGAGUGGGGAAAUGGUGGUAGUGGGGCUGCCAGCUCUCCAUCCUGAAAACAAAACCAGAGCUGUUUGUCUGCCCCCUUCCCGACUCCCAGACCCCUACAGAUCCAAGGUUUAAAUGUAAAAUAAAUGAAAUCUGAUCACUAGAUAAAAGGAGGGAUAUUUCUAGAAUCUUCAAGCAGCAAAGCCUUUCCAAUCAAAGACACAAAACAUAAAGUCAUCAGGUAAAAAGCCCAGAAAUGUUAAUAGUAAGAAAAAAAUGGUGCGUAGUCAAAAGACCACCUGAGAAAAACACCACAGUGCCCAGCAGCCCGAGGCUAAUUUCUUUGAUACGUGAAGGGUUCUACAGAAAUCCCAAUGGAAAACCUUAGGAGAAAACUAAAGUAUGUGAGCUGUACAUUCAUAGAAAAGGAAAUACAGUGAAUUGCCAGGUGGUGGCACACCUGUAGCCUGUAAUCCCAGCAGCUCAGGAGGCUGAGGCAGGAGGAUCACAGGUUCAAAGCCAGCCUCAGCAACUUAGUGAGGCCUUAACCAACUCAGUGAGACCCUGUCUCAAAAUAAAAAGGGCCGGGAAUACGUCUCGGUGGUAAAGUGCCCCAGGUUCAGUCCCUGGUACCAAAAGAAAAAGGAAAAGAAGUACAAUGAAUUGUCAGUAAACAGAAAGGUACACGACCUCAUUUUGUAAAUUAAAUUGACGCUUUGACAGCAUACCUACAAAACAGCGGUGCAGUUAGCCUGUGCAUUACAGCUGAGUGUGAGAACAGUGCCUCCAGCCCAGACACACAGUGCACGGCGUUUGUGCAGAGGUCUUCAUGCAGCAUUGUUCACAGCAGCAAGAGGCUGGACGUGGUCUCAAGCACCAUCAUUUGCACACUGGUUAAGUCAGCCGUGGUGCAUCUCCACUAAAGAGUACUAAACAACCUUGUAAAGCACAGCGUGUCUGUGUGAGACCAUCUCUGAAACCUGUGCGCAGAGGGGAAGGCACUGUGGAUGGCAGGGGAGAGACAUAGUGUGUGUGUGUGUGUGUGUGUGUGUGUGUACACGCGCAGAGUAUUUUCUGGAAGGAUUACGACAGUCUGGUAGCUGGUAAUGCACUGCAUCUGGGGAAGGAAGGACACAUUUCAUUGUAUUCUCUGAGUGGUUGGAAUUUUUACUGGUGUGGUAUCUAACUUUUCAAAUAAAAAAAAAGCCAUUGGGCUGAGGUUGUAGCUCAAUAGUAGAGAGAGCUCUCCCUUGCACACGUGAGGCCCUGGGUUGGAUCCUCAGCACCACAGAAAAAUAAGUAAAUAAAGUAAAGGUAUUGUGUCCACCUCCAAUGAAAAAUAAAUAUGUUAAAAACAUCAAGGAGAAAAGCUCAUGAAAAUGGCACCUUGUUAUACAUUUUGUUUUUAGAGUAACAACAUUCAUUUAUUAGUGUUUACAUGUGAUUUGCAUUUACUUUUAUGUGAAAUACCUUUUCUGUCCUUAUCCAGUUUUCUUUUGGAUCAUUACUCUUCAUUAGCAAGUUAGAGCUUUUAACAUAAUAAGAAACCUUAACCCUUGACCAGCGUAACCCAACAGAGCCCUCAGGCUAGGAGGGCAGCAACGGCUCUCCACUGCCCCCUUGUGGCAGGAUGCAUUGCCCACUGGGCAAUGAACCUUCUGGAAGGGAAGAUCAGCCUCCCUCCUGCUCUUUACUGGUUCAUAUCCUUCAGUCUGAAUAAACCCCCAGAGCCUCCCACCCCACUUCUGGGGAUUGAACCCAGGGGCACUCUACCACUGAGCCACAUCCCCAGCACUGUUUAUUUUUUUAUUUUGAGACAAGGUCUCACUGAAUUGCUGAGGCUGGCCUCAAACUUGUGAUCUUCUGCCUCAGCCUCUUGAGUCACUAGAAUUAUAGUGUACAGCACCAUGCCCAGCAGAACUCAUUUCCUUUAAAUUCAUUCCUUUAAUUUCUUUAUGUAAUAGGUUCAGUGUUUUUCCUUCUUUUUUUUUCCCCUCAACCACUGAGCCACAUCCCUAGCCCUUUAUUAUUAUUAUUAUUAUUAUUAUUAUUAUUAUUAUUAUUAUUAUUAUUAUUUUCUUAUUUAGAGACAGGGUCUCACUGAGUUGCUCAGGGCCUCCCUAAGUUUCUGAGGCUGGCUUUGCACUUGUGAUCCUCCUGCCUCAGCCUCCUGAGACACUGGGAUUACAUGCAUGCACUACCGUGCCCUGCUUUUCCUCUUUAUCUUCUAUGAAAUCCUUUCUGAAACUCCGUGGCUCAUUCAUUCAAAACACAAGGACUUAUUAUCAACUAAAUUGAGAAUGUGAAGAAUUGCUGCCCCAAGUGUGCAGGAUGUGUGACCGUAACACAGAGUUGGAAUGUGCCGUAUGGAGGGACAUGCAGUGUGCCAUGGGGACACAGGAUAUUGCUGCCAGCUCCUCCUGGGAAAUCAAGGCAGGUGGCUUAUAGGACAGGAAACGCUAAUGUAGUAGCCACGUUUUCUCAGCGUCUCAUGCAGUAAUAUACUUUGCUUCCUUCUCAUAUGAAUUGAGCUGGGUCCUCCGUUUCCUUUCUCUCUUGAUGACCUCAGCCAGCUGCUCGUAUCUAAAUGCCAUAGAGCACUACACACACACCUCUAGCCCAGACCUUCUCACACCCCAGAUUCCUCCAUCCAGCUGUUCACGUGUCCCUUCGACUUGGAUUGGCCUCCCCGACAUGACAUGUUCAAAGCACAGAUCUUGAUUUUUGCUUUCUUAACCUCCUUCCCUCCAGCCUUUCCCAUCUUACUAAAUAUCAGGUGUUUCCCGUCUUAGUGAAUAUCAAUCCAGCUGUUCAAGCCAAAAACCCAAGGAUCACCUUUUCCUCUGUGCCCUUCACCUCCUUCAACCAAAUUAUCCUUUGACUUCUAUCCCAAGUCUCCUGCUCUUCUUCCUACCUCUAGUGUAGCAUUCUCUCACCUGGAUCACAUCUGGUCUCUCUGCGGUAUUCACUCAACACAUACCUACAGAGGUCCUUCUGCUAGAAUAGGAGCCAGAUGGUGACCAGCAGUCACCUAAGUAGAAGUAUGAGAUCUUGUGUCUCCUAGGGGUCACAGAGAGCUGGAGUUCAGAGGGCAGUGAGGAUCUGUGGAGGUAGGACUAGAUUUAGGGAGCGGGAUGGCCCCCAAAGAAAUGAUCCCUGAGCUGAGACCCUAAGGGUAACCCAGAAGAAGGUUCUAGGCAAAGGCUACGGUACAGUUGGCUUUCCGUAUCCACAGGUUCUGCACGCGUCUGUUCAACCAAGUGUGGAAUGAAAUGUUUUUAAAUCUGCUGAUUAUGUAAUUCGAGUCUGUCUCUGUACUAACCACAGCCAGACUUCCACUUCCUGCCGCCCUCCCUGCACCGGGCAGUGUAGCACCUGCUCCCACAGCGCUUACACUGUGUCAGCUGGGGUAGGUGACCUGGGAGGACACCCAGGGACUUGAGCAGCCUCAGAUCUCGGUUCUGCAGAGGUCCUGGGGCAGUGCCCCGUGGACACUGGAGGUGGCUGUCCUCAGCCGUCCUGUGGUAGGAGGAGACAGGGGGGAGGCCCGUGUGGACGAGGACAGAGGCCCUCUGAGGCCCCUAGGGCUGGCCUUGAGGUCAGUGCCCUUACCACAGGAGCCCUGGAGGGCCACUGCAGGUCUCGAGGGUCACUUUUUCUGUCCCACACUUUGGCCUGCUUUCCCAGCUUUUGUCUACCAGAUUUCCUGUCCCACUCUGAGAGGACCACUUGGGACCUUUGCCUCUGAUUCCCACCAACACCCCGGUCCUCGCUCUGAACUGAUACUCUUACAUCCCACGUCAGGAAACCACGGUCGUCAUGUAAGAGAGGCCGGUCUUAAUCCCCUGACCUCCCUCCCUCCUCCGAACCUCACUCUACCCCUAGGCACAAGGGAAGCGCCUUCCGCCUCCCCUUGAGUCCUGCGUGCCCUCCCUCUUGUCUGUUCUGGGGCUUCCUGCUUCUCCCCUCGUCAUCGGUGGUCCUUGCCAUCAGCCUGGAAACACGGCCGACCUGUGGACACCUUCCCUUGACCUGGGUCUCCCUCCAGGAACACCCUGGGUCUCCGCUCCUUCACAGCCAAGCCUCUCAGGACAGUCACCCAUGCUAAAAAGGCUGACCACCAGCCACAUGAGGUUAUUGAGCACUUAAAUGUGCCAGCUUGAUCAAGGGACUGAAUUAUUAUAUUUAAUUUUGAUUAAUAGCCUCGUGUGGCUACCAUAGUGGAUAGCCAAUUCCAAAGGAUUCAAAUUACAUAAUUAACAAACUCAGUCAUUCUCAUAUGUGUGCGUGCGCAUAAUACAUGUACAUAUAUGUAUAUAUACACGUGUGCAUGUAUGUAUGCAGGUGUCACACAUAUAAAACUGUGUCUAAGAGUUCGUAUUUUUAGAAGUAGUUGGACACAAUACCUUUAUUUUAUUAAUUUAUUUUUAUGUGGUGCUGAGGAUCGAACCCAGUGCCUCACACAUGCUAGGCAAGUGCUCUACCACCGAUCCACAGCCCCAGCCCGAGUUCAUAUUCUUUUCAAAGGCAGAACAGUCAUGAGAUCCUCCUGGACCCCUGGCAGUUCGUUCCCUACUCCCCAACCUCUCUUCAUGCCUCAGUCUCUCUCAUUCUGAACUUGGCCCGCCGGCCAGGAGGGACCAGCUGCUUAGGACAACCAAAGAAGAGUGGGACUCUCCGUGUGCUUGGACAUGGAGACCAGUUUCUUCUACAGCUGGAGCCGAUGCAUCCAGAACCGCAGCCUCUGUGCUGCCCAGUUCUGUUUCCAAGCGGUGGAUUCAGAUCUGGUUGAAAGCUGGGGUCUUGACACUUGUCUGCUGGGUUUCCCGGCUGCUCUGCUCUGUCAUGCCCUCCCUCUGGGAUUGCAGAAAUCCCCAGGAAGGGUGGGGGCCACUGCCUGCUGGGCUCGUGCCUCCUCUAUCAUCGGAGCCCAGGGCCCAGCCCAGGUCCACGUCCCUGCCCCACUGUUCAUCUUGGGCCCAGCAGAAAUCCACAGAUGACUCCCCAAGAAAGCUUGGCUCCCCAGCCUAAUGCUGUGCUUGUGGAUAUGCUCUCUCCAGGCUGACCCUUGUGAGGUGGUCAGGAACGGAGGGGACACUGGGAUUGGGUACUUUAAAAUCAGACAGUGUUAAGUAAGUGAUUCAAGUGGGGAGAGAGAUCUUGGCUUCUCAUUUCUGCUUAAGAAGAAAGUCUAAAUUCCGUGUUAGUAGUUCUUUAAACCCUCUUAUUACUCCCUAAUCUUCCUUUCUAGUAAAGGCAGGCUGGCUGGAGUCUUUGCAGAUAAUAGUACAGUAUCUAGUCGGAAUUAGUCUUAUGAUUUUAUCACAUUCGGCUUUAUAGCCACCUUCAAUUUAUGGCAAAUGGCACCGGUGUUCCCUUUGAGCACUGUGAAAUUUCCUUUUUAAGUGUGUCGAGCACAAUGGCACACGUAAUCCCAUCCACUCAGGAGGCUGAGGCGAAAGGAUCACAAGUUCAAAGCCAGCCUGGGCAGCUUAGCUGAAAGUAAAAAGUUGAAGAGUCUAGGAUAUAGCUCAGUGGUGGAGUGGCCCUGGGUUCGAUCCCCAGUACCACCAGCACCCCCCCCCAACAACAACAAAAAAAAAAGUAUGUGUAUUUUUUUUUAAUAUUUAUUUUUUAGGUGCAGAUCGACACAACACAAUGCCUUUAUUUUUUAAUGUGGUGCUGAGGCUCGAACCCAGGUCCCGCCCGUGCUAGGCGAGUGCUGUAUCGCUGAGCCACAGUCGCAGCCCCUAAAAGUUAACAUCUUUAUAUAUAUAUAAACAAUGUGUGUGCAUUUUUAAAGAAUCAGUGUAGAGAAAACACUCAUGGUCCUCCACGGGACAUCUGGAGCUAGCAAAAGUCAUGUUGCGAUUCAUGAAUGACCAAACUCCGGGAAAUGCUGCCUUAGUAACAUCUGUCAGAAUGGACGGGUCCGGAUGUCUGCUAGGCGGGCCACGCUGAAAGCCAGCCCAGCCCUUUCUGCAACAGCGUCCAAGUCUUGGUUUGUCUGUGUCCCGCUUCUCGCUUCUCGUCCCAAAGGUUCAUUUACCAAGCGAAAGUCGGGGGCCGCUGGUUUCCAGCCGUCUGCGCGCACAGCAAGAAGCAAGGCAAGCAGGAAGCAGCCGAUGCGGCCCUCCGCGUCCUGAUUGGGGAGAGCGAGAAGGCAGAGCGCAUGGGUUUCACAGAGGUAACCCCAGUGACAGGGGCCAGUCUCAGAAGAACUAUGCUCCUCCUCUCCAGGUCCCCAGAAGCGCAGCCAAAGACAGUUAAGACGUCUACUUUUGGUGCUAUCUUUUUGUUUUGGGGGUGGAGCUGGCUUGUCACUAGCUGUCAUGUGAAUUGUCCCUUGGCUAUGCUACUAGCCUCAAUAGAGCAUAUAACUGGGACACUAGAUGUGAAAGGGGAAAGAAAGGUGGUGCACGAGUCCAUUAGCACGUGACCCCCUGCCCACUGUGAAGCAUGGUGGACGCGGGCGUGGCUGCAUGACCCUCACAGCCCCCUGUCCCCACAGCUUCCUCUCACUGGCAGUACCUUCCACGACCAGAUAGCGAUGCUGAGCCACCGGUGCUUCAACACCCUCACAAACAGUUUCCAGCCCUCCCUGCUCGGCCGCAAAAUCCUAGCCGCCAUCAUUAUGAAGAAAGACCCUGAGGACAUGGGUGUCGUGGUCAGCUUGGGGACAGGUGAGAGAGGGUCUCCCCAGCCACCAGCCUCUCAGUGACUGGAAGCAGGUCUUCCUCACCCUCCCCUGAGUCCAUGUGAGCAAGUCCAAGCCCGGGGACCAGGCCGCGCGUCCCCUUGUCCUGACAUGGAUCUUAAAAAGCUCUGGAUUUUGGCCAGGUGCCAGGGUGCCUUUAAUGCCACCCACUCAGGAGGCUGCGGCAGGGUGAUGGAGAAUUCAGAGCCAGCUCAGCAACUGAGCAAGACCUAAGCAACAGCAAGACCCUGCCUCUCAAAAAAUACUGCCGAGGGCUGGGCAUGUGGCUCAGGGGCUAAGUGCCCACGGGUUCAAUCCCCAGUACACCCCCUCAAAAAAAAGCUUUGCAUUUUGGAACACUUCAGAUUUCCACAUUAGGGAUGCUCAACUAGCAGACUCCAUGCAAAUAUUCCAAAAUCUGAACAACUCCAGACUCUGAAACACUGUGGUCCUGAGCACUUGGGUAAAGGACACUCACCUGCGUGUCAUUUAGCUGCAGUCAGCUCAGGGUGGGGGUGGACUCCUUCUCCCUAGGUAAGAGGAUGACUGUCCAGGCUGUUCUCCGCGAGCCUGAAGACAGACUGCCCCACCCACUUCACCCUCCUUCUCCUUUGACUUUUCCCUUUUUCUCCCAAUCCUUCAGGGAAUCGCUGUGUCAAAGGAGACUCCCUCAGCCUCAAGGGAGAGACCGUCAACGACUGUCAUGCGGAGAUCAUCUCCCGAAGAGGCUUCAUCAGGUGAGCGAGCACCUGCCGGGGCUGCCCCCGCCCACCUGGGCACAGUGGCUCCGGCACAGGCCUUCCUGACACCCCGGCAGACGGCAGGUCCCUGAGCCAGCAGUGGUGGCCUUCGGGUUUAUCCUGUGAUCUGAGCCCUCGUAGAGCCAGUCCCCUCUGUGACCCUCUGCCUCCCACCCCCAGCCUGGUCCUAAGACCUUUUUUCUGCCAACUCUGCUGUCUUCUGUUUCUCAAAACAAAGUGACCCUGGGUCCUCGGGCCUUGGGGAUGAGGCGGCCUCCAUCUCCAUUUGAGGACCCAUCAGCACCUCGUGUCGCCGCGGCUUCUCCUCUGGUUCACCUUUUCUCUAAUUUGUGAAGGGAGCGGGGAAGAGGCAGCUGCCUCCCGAAGCCUUGAGCCAGUUCCUUCUGCCUGGAGUCCCUGCAGCCGCCACAGCAAGGGGCCUUUGGCGGAAAUGAAACGGACCGAAAGGCUCACUGUGCUUUAUGAAAUGCUGAGGUCUCUCUGGGAAGCUUCCCCACCUGAGAAGCUAGAAGAGCUGCACCAGGAAACUUGUCCCCACUUGGGGCUCAGAUAGGGGUCAGCUCCAAGCACCAUCUGCUCUCGCCAGAAUCCAGCCUGCCGUCCUAACUGCACGUCUUUUACAGGUUCCUUUACAGUGAGUUAAUGAAAUACAACCCCCAGACUGCGAAGGACAGUAUAUUUGAGCUUGCCAGGGGAGGAGAGAAGCUCCAGAUAAAAAAGACUGUUUCGUUCCACCUGUACAUCAGGUCUGUACCCUGCCGGGCUCCCAGGAUGGGCUUCCACCUGCUCUGCCGGCCCCUAAAUCUGACCCCACGCAACAGGCCACACGCUCCACUGAGGUACCAUGAGGUACAUUCCCCAGUGGAGGAUGACUGUCCUAGACACAGCUGCCCCCUCCAGCAUCCCCUGGUGGGCUCCAGGAAACAUCCCAGCUCCAGCCGCAGCAGACUAGGGACCCCGAGAAGUUGGAGUUCCCUCCUGCGCAGGUGAGUGACGGACACCCCUGUGUUGCAGCACUGCCCCGUGUGGAGACGGCGCCCUCUUCGACAAGUCCUGCAGUGACCGCGCCCUGGAAAGCACAGAUUCCCGCCACUACCCUGUCUUUGAGAAUCCCAAACAAGGCAAGCUGCGCACCAAGGUGGAGAAUGGUGAGUGCCACACAGGCUCUGCGAGACCCCCGUGUGCGCCACUCGUCACGGGGGAGGACUGUAGGGAGGGGAAGUUCCAUUCUGAAUCUGUUAGCUCAGGUGAUGAGAGCCUGGGGGGGAAGAAAGGACAGAGCGUGUCCUCCUGGGGUCUCCACGGCCGGCACAGGCAGAGUGCGGGGGGAGGGCGGCGGAAGUGAAAAGUCAGGCCCUCCGUCUGGUGGCCUCGGACCUGGCCUCCUGCCCCCUCGCGCCUUCCUGCCUGUCCCCCAGCAUCUCCUUCUCCUCCGGUCACCCCUGCUCCCUUCAUGCUUCAGCAGUCGUCUGCGUCACUGUCAAGCCCAAGUCAGGUCACGUCAGUUCCCUGCUGGCCACCCUGAAGUCUGGACAGCACCACGUGGCCCAGCAGUCCUCCUGGGCUAUCCCCAGGAGAAGUGAAAGCCCAGGUCCACACAGAGCUAGUUCGGGCGCCUUCACAGCAGCCGGGCAGGGGACACGGCCAGCGCCCUCCCCUCCAUGACAGAAAAGUAAAACCGCCACAUCCAUGCGAGGGACUGUCCUUGGCCAUGACAUGAAGUAAGCAUUGACCCAGCUACAGUGAGGUCACCCUGAAAACGUCAUGCUAAGCGCAAAAAGCCCCAAAAGAUCACGUGGUGUGACUCCAUUUCUAUGAAAUAUCCAGAAUAAAUGAGUUCUACAGACAGGAAGUGCCUGAGAGGCUGCCCGGAUGAGGGACGGAGGGAGGUGGGAGUGAGAGCCAGCCGAGGUCGGGUUGGGGUUGAUCGUGCCGAUGUAUAAUCCCAUGGUGCAUAACCUCAGAAACGCCAAAAACCACUGAACAGCUUGCUUUCAAUGGCGAGUUGUAGUAUACGACUUGUAUCUCAGUAAAGCUGGUAUUUUUUAAAAAAACGCAAGCACCAUGUAGGGUCUCCCACUGCCCUUGAUACGAAGGCAACCUGAGCCAGGCACAGUGGCCCAGGCCUGCAAUCCCAGCAGCUCCGGAGGCUGAGGCAGGAGGAUCACGAGUUCAAAGCCAGCCUUAGCGAGGCCCAGAGCAACUCAGCAAGACCCUGUCUGUACUGAAAGCCCACCUCCCGGCCUCAGCCUGCCCAGUCUUCUCUUUGGUGAUUCUCUGGUGCCCCCGAAACACCGAAACCCUCGCUGCCUCAGGCCGUGGCUUCUGCCGCUCGCUCCCUGUCUGAAUGGGUUAGGACUCUUCUCCCUCCAGCUGCUCCCUGCCUCCUCCACCCAGGAGCUCGCGGUGCCGUCCCCCCGGCUCUCCCACAGGCCUUCCCCACGCUGUCAGCAUCUGGAGUUCCCACCUGCUCACUGGUGCAUCUGCUUAGUGCUCUCCUUUCCCUUUCUGUCCCUCACCCCUGAACACCGCGGGACAGCACGGACCUCACUGAGGUCUGCUCCCCAGUGUUUCCCAGCUCCCAGCACAGUGACCGCCGUGUCCUCCAGGACUGUGAGCCACAUGGAGAAUGAAGGGCCGAGCUGCCGGUGGCCCGGCCUCAGGAGCUCAAGUCCCGCGCUAGGGGUGGUUUGGUGGCCUCUGUGGAUCUGACCCGAGUCUCUCACACAGGGGAAGGCACCAUCCCUGUGGAGUCCAGUGACAUUGUGCCUACGUGGGAUGGCAUCCGGCUUGGGGAGAGACUCCGCACCAUGUCCUGUAGUGACAAAAUCCUACGCUGGAACGUGCUGGGCCUGCAAGGGGCACUGCUGACCCACUUCCUACACCCUGUGUAUCUCAAAUCUGUCACACUGGGUAAGGGACCUGCCUUGGGAGUUGGAACCCACCUGUCCUUCUCCACCCCAGUCCCAGAAAACUUCAUGCUUCAGUCAACCCACUUUCCACAGUGAGCUCAGCCCCGUCGUCAGCAGGGGGUGCCGGCCUGCACAGGCCGGAGGGUGGCCAGGAGGCCGAGGAGGGGGGCCAGGCCAGUCUCCAAGACGGGUCGGAGAAACGCGGCAGAUGGCAGCAGCAGCAUCUGGUUUUCCUUGUUCUCCUCAGUCCUUGGCCUUACCCGAAACAUUCCGUUUUGUGCUUCAAUAUUUGAUGAUCCUGUGUGUCCUGUGCUGCCACAGUUAGAGGCCCUGCCUGUCAGGGGCUCUCUGUCCUGACAAUUCUGCCUUAUACCUUCCAGCCCCCGGGGGCCUCAGCUUCUCCAUAGCUUUGGUGAACACAGAUGUAUGGGUUUUUGUUUCUGUUUUUACUUUCUUUUUUAUACCCAGGGUACCUUUUCAGCCAAGGACAUCUGACCCGGGCUAUCUGCUGUCGUGUGACAAGAGACGGGAGUGCGUUUGAGGCUGGAUUACGAUACCCCUUUGUUGUCAACCACCCGAAGGUCUGUGCCCCUGUCCUGUUCCCCUUUUCAAGCAUUCCCAUCAGCAGAGCAGAAAUAUGGUCAAGGGAGCCAUGGUUGGUGUCCUCUGGAGGCCAAGGGCUUUCCUCCUCUAGCCUGACACGAUCUGAAUCGAGGUGGAGAGUACUUCUAGAGUGUGCUCCGGUGUAACCAAGCCAUGUUAAAUCAAGGGGGAGACGGUGGCCCACCUCCCUCUUCCCCAUG
rnacentral:lncRNA from 1 species